CUUCAAUACUGGUGAAUUUUUAAAAUAUAUUUCUUUUCUCCUUUAUUUUCCAAUAAAUAAAGUGGAAGCAGAUAGAUUGAUAUUGAUAUGAUUGGAUACUUGUGUAAGGAUAUAGUAUAAAUAGUUUUAUGGAUAUGAGUUGAGGAAUAAAAAAAUAUUGAUCAUUGUUGUAUUGCAUUUACGGGAUUUCAAUUGCAGAAAAUGUGACAUAAUUUUCGAAUAGGCAUAAAGAUGUUGUUUUAUUUAAAAAUAAAACCAUUUGGCAUGAUAUAUGUGUACAUUAUCUUAGCAUAUAAAUGAAAUAAUAUAUUUAUUUUGUCAAACAUGCUAAAAUUAUCCUAAUUAUUUUUUUCUGAACUUAAAAAUUUGUGGUUUAUGUUCGUAACGCAUGGUGUCCAUAUGCAUUGAACUUUUUAACACCUCUCUACAAACAUUAAAUAAUUUGUCAAGUUCAAUUUCUGUGUUUAAUCAAUGAGUAUGUAUGAUAAAUUAUUUUUAACAAUAUGCUUCAUGAACAUAACUCAGUUCUUUUUGUAAUUUUAAAAUGAUCUCUGAUUGUAAAAUGUUUGGUGUCUUGACCGUUACGAACAUAAUAGCUUUCAGUAUGAUUGCUAAAAUAACAGCCAAUGAAUCAUAAGUUUGGCUCAGGAAGUCCGUAGCAGUGGUAUAAUUAUAAAUUGAAAACGAAAGUAGAAAGGUUGCGCAGCUGUCUGCAAAAAAACAUGGCGAUGCUCAUUGUGUCCACGUGGAAGACAGAAGUUACGUACAUAAUAGAUUCGAUUUACAAGAAAUGACUGAAUUAUGUUCGUAACAAUGACACAAAGAUCCAAGACUCAAAAUAGAAGACCCAGGAUAUUUAGCAAUCCAUCUGACAAUUUACUUGUCUGCAUUAAUUCUCUUUGAAAACUAGUCUAUUAUUAAGCUUUGAAAUGAAAUAUUAAAAGUAUUAAAGACAA